GACGAACGCUGGCGGCGUGCCUAAUACAUGCAAGUUGAGCGCUGAAGGUUGGUACUUGUACCAACUGGGUGAGCAGCGGACGGGUGAGUAACGCGUGGGUAAUCUGCCUUUGAGCGGGGGACAACAUUGGGAAACGAAUGCUAAUACCGCAUAAAAACUUUAAACACAAGUUUUAAGUUUGAAAGAUGCAAUUGCAUCACUCAAAGAUUAUCCCGCCUUGUAUUAGCUAGUUGGUUAGGUAAAGGCUCACCAAGGCGAUGAUACAUAACCGACCUUAGAGGGUGAUCGGCCCACUUGGGACCGAGAAAAGGCCCCAACCCCUAACGGAGGCAGGCAUAGGGAAUCUUCGGCAAAGGACGAAAGGCUGACCGGGCAAAGCCGGGUGGGGGAAGAAGGUUUUCGGAUCGUAAAACUCCGUUGGUAGAGAAGAAAGUUGGUGAGAGUGGAAAGCUCACAAAGUGACGGUAACUACCCAGAAAGGGACGGCUAACUACGUG
rnacentral:rRNA from 1 species